AUUCCUGUAGCGCAUUGGAUAGCGCGUUGGACUUCUAAUCCAAAAGCCGUAGGUGUUCGAAUCCCACCUGGGAUG